ACCACCAUUGGCCGUUGAUUUUGGUCCCACUGCUCAAUAUGUUUGCCUUCAAGGCUUCUUCUUUCUCUCUAAAUAAGAAACCCUAAUUGUAUCAACUUAGCCAUUCUCUCUAAUUUUUGAAUUUUAAGGUGUGAAGAAUGCUCUCACUUCUUUACAACUUAGUAACCCUCAAUUUUAAGGUUUGUCACCAGCAUCCUUUGCUAGCCCCGCUUACACCACCACUCAUAAACGCACAUACACACCAUGCCAAUUGCUACCAUCCACAAACUCUGUCUACCACGACGACCACCGUUGAGCGUCGAGCACCGCCACCAUCAUUUACAGCUUUGAGUAAAGCCAUCAUGAACAACAGCCAACAAGCCCAUACUAACAUCACCACUCAAAGUACAAACGAGGUGGGGACAUUUAGCAUUAGAGUAUAUCGCUUAAUUGAAUUCGGCUUCAAAAAAUCAAAAAGUUGGCGUUCAUAUCUUUCUCUCUGCAAAAGGUUGGAUUUCAGAUUUUGUACUUAUUUUUUGUAUGUCAUCCAUCUCAGUUCUUCCCUCUCUUUCUUUUUCAUUUAUUUUUUUGCCUAUUAGACAACCACAUCAGACCAAUGCCAGAAACCUCAACGAACAAGUGCAAAAAAAGAUAUAAUGUGUCAUCCAUUCAAAAUGUUUAUAUUUUUCAUCUUGAAAUGAAGACCUAGAGUUGAACAGAUAAGUAAAUUUCCUUCAUUUUCUUAUACCUUUUUAUCUUUUUUCUUUUGAUUACUAAUGUUUUUGUUUUUUUUUUAACUUUUGAUUUCCCUCAUUUGAAACUUUUUAUUUUUGGUUUCUUUUGGUUUCUACUACAAUCCUUCUCAAUGAAGGUUAGUAGCCGACCCCAUGUACACUUUUGCUAUCUUAUUAUUCUUUGUAAACUUCAAACCAAGGAAAAGUCUGGAAAUCAAUGUUCUGAUGGAGCUAUUGAUCAUGGUUCUCGAACAGAGUAUGUUACUCCAAUUCCAUCAUAUAGCAGUUGCCGAAACGAUUGAAGAGGAAAAGGAAAAUAUGGAUGAUGGGAAAAGAGGUUGUGGUUGAAUGGUAAGGUUUGUUUGGUCAUUGCAUCUAUCUGAUAUGAAUUGCAUCAUUUUCCUCAACCUCUUAUGAUAUAACAAAACUGAACUGCAUCAUUUGUACUAUGCCUUCUCAGGUUUAAAAAUCUGUAAAGUAAGAAAUAUUUGAGCA